rnacentral:rRNA from 1 species
GCCCUUGGAAGGGGAUGUAUUUAUUAGAUUAAAAACCAAUGCCCUACGGGGCUCACUGGUGAUUCAUGAUAACUCCUCGAAUCGCAUGGCCUUGUGCCGGCGAUGGUUCAUUCAAAUUUCUUCCCUAUCAACUUUCGAUGUUUGGGUAUUGGCCAAACAUGGUUGCAACGGGUAACGGAGGGUUAGGGCUCGACCCCGGAGAAGGAGCCUGAGAAACGGCUACUACAUCCAAGGAAGGCAGCAGGCGCGCAAAUUACCCAAUCCCGACACGGGGAGGUAGUGACAAUAAAUACUGAUACAGGGCUCUUUUGGGUCUUGUAAUUGGAAUGAGUACAAUUUAAAUCCCUUAACGAGGAACAAUUGGAGGGCAAGUCUGGUGCCAGCAGCCGCGGUAAUUCCAGCUCCAAUAGCGUAUAUUAAAGUUGUUGUGGUUAAAAAGCUCGUAGUUGAACCUUGGGCCUGGCUGGCCGGUCCGCCUCGCCGCGUGUACUGGUCCGGCCGGGCCUUUCCCUCUGUGGAACCCCAUGCCCUUCACUGGGUGUGGCGGGGAACCAGGACUUAAGGGC